rnacentral:rRNA from 1 species
AUUGAACGCUGGCGGGAUGCUUUACACAUGCAAGUCGAACGGUAGAGGGGGCAACCCCUCGAGAGUGGCGAACGGGUGAGUAAUAUAUCGGAACGUGCCCAGUCGUGGGGGAUAACGUAGCGAAAGUUACGCUAAUACCGCAUACGAUCUAAGGAUGAAAGCGGGGGAUCGCGAGACCUCGCGCGAUUGGAGCGGCCGAUAUCAGAUUAGGUAGUUGGUGGGGUAAAGGCUCACCAAGCCAACGAUCUGUAGCUGGUCUGAGAGGACGACCAGCCACACUGGGACUGAGACACGGCCCAGCCUCCUACGGGAGGCAGCAGUGGGGAAUUUUGGACAAUGGGCGCAAGCCUGAUCCAGCAAUGCCGCGUGCAGGAUGAAGGCCUUCGGGUUGUAAACUGCUUUUGUACGGAGCGAAACGGCUUCCACUAAUACUGGGGGCUAAUGACGGUACCGUAAGAAUAAGCACCGGCUAACUACGUGCCAGCCGCCGCCGUAA